UCAUUACCAGCGGCCGUUGUAACAGUGU
rnacentral:piRNA from 1 species